rnacentral:rRNA from 1 species
AUUAAAGGCACGCCUGCCCAGUGAACAAUUAAACGGCCGCGGUACCCUAACCGUGCAAAGGUAGCAUAAUCAUUUGUCUAUUAAUUGUAGACCAGUAUGAAUGGCAAAAUGCGGGCCUAUCUGUCUCUUACAAUAAGUCAAUUAAACUGAUCUUCUAGUAAAAAAGCUAGAAUCCACACACAAGACCAGAAGACCCUGUGAAGCUUAAACUAAACUAUUAAACCCUAUAAUAUCUACUUUGGGUUGGGGCGACCUUGGAAAAAAAAAGAACUUCCAAACAUAUGACCACACUCAUUCAUCAGGCCCACAAGCCUAAUAAAAGACCCAGUACAGCUGAUAAUUGAACCAAGUUACUCCAGGGAUAACAGCGCCAUCUUCUUCAAGAGUCCAUAUCAAAAAGAAGGUUUACGACCUCGAUGUUGGAUCAGGACAUCCUAAUGGUGCAGUCGCUAUUAAGGGUUCGUUUGUUCAACGAUUAAUAGUCCUACGUGAUCUGAGUUAGAACCGGAUWUUAAUCGUUGAACAUAGAACCUUAAUAGCGACUGCACCAUUAGGAUGUCCUGAUCCAACAUCGAGGUCGUAAACCUUCUUUUUGAUAUGGACUCUUGAAGAAAAUGGCCUKUUAUCCUGGAGUAACUUGGUUCAUUAUUCAGCUGUACUGGGUCUUUUAUUAGGYUUGUGGGCUGAUGAA